rnacentral:tRNA from 1 species
GAAUAUGAAGCGAUAAAUUGCAAUUAGUUUCGACCUAUUUUUAGAUGGACACCAUCCUUAUUCU